CUGGAAUGAACUUGUCCUGUGUCCUGUUGAACAAUCUGCAUAACGGUUUCGACAGAAAUAAGAUAAACUCUGUCGGGAUUGUUAGUACCUUCCAAAACUGAACUCCAAAAGUGAGCCAUACAGUCAAGCAUGGGAGUGUAUGGGUAAAAUUACAAGGAGAGGCUGUAUAAGAGCAAACAUAUGUCAAACAUAGGGUAUAGCUUUCCUCCUAAUGGGCUUGGGCUUUGUAGGCCACAUAGGUUGCCAGAAUUGAACACGAUAUAGUUUGUGGCUUUUGUGUCUUAUUUCUUAAUGAAUGCAUGAUGUACAAAUCAAAUACUGCAGCAAAAUAUGAGGAGCUAUAGUUACCCUACCAAGUGGCCUGUCUCCUGUCCUUGAUUUGACCCCUGGUGUUCUCCUCUGCUAUCCUUAUCUCCCUCUCUAAAUUAGCAAUCUACAUAAAGAAAAGGAACAUCAAAGAUCAAUCCCAGCAAGACAGUUCCUCAUAAUGAGAAUAAAGGCUCUGUUUUAUGGAAAGAUCUUGUCAGUCAACAUGCUAAAAUCCACAGUCUGAGCAAUACAUCCCAGAGACCAUUACUGGGGAGUGUGGUUGAAACUAUUUCCCUGGGAGUGAUUUUGUUUCUUGGGCAAGUCUCUCACAGGUGAAAUCUAUUAGGAAGGCCAGACCACUUCCUAUAAGCAAGCAAGCAAGGACAAUUCAAAGAAUAGGCAAUGAUGUGUUGCCUUAUAAGCAGGGAAGGUCUAAGAGAAGACUGCAGAUUUUAGUGGAAAUAGAAUUUUUUGGGGAAAAUCCAUAGUCUGUAAUGGGAUUUUGAAAGGAGCUAUUUAUUCUAUGCAAAAUUGUCCAGUCUACAGAGCUGGUAAUUUAAAAAACAAACAGAAAUGCUCAAAGAAAAGCUCAAGCAGCCUGACCUGGUUAUUGAAUGGAAGUUGCCCUCUUUUUGUGUAGUAUAGGUGGGACUGACGAUAGAUUUAAGUCAUCUGUUAUUAUAGUCAUUGCUAUGCAGUGUGAUUUACUUUGCCAUGGGUAAUUUCAACUGCAGCAGCCAAUGCUGAUAGUUCGAGUUUGGUAUCGCCACCAUUUGCGAUCUGAGAUGCAGUCCUCUUUUUUUUACAUACACACACCUUGCUUGUUUUUUCCUGGAAGAUGAUCAAAAGAAUCAAUCUUAUAGGGAUCUUCCUCUUCACCUGAGAGGCACAGAGUUAGGAAUGAGACUGCAAGAUCCAGCAAGAAGCAUCCAGAGAAGCCUGCAGAAGCAACCACCUGAAACAGUCCUCUUUGUGCUCUCCACCUCACGUGCCUUGUCUCCGAAUCACUGCAUUUGGGCUUUCUCCUGACACUGAGUCAGUCUGCUUGUUAUUAAACAUUUUCCCAUCUGCCUUUGGCUCCAAACUGGAUUUCUCCUGGAUCCUGAAAGCCGUGAAUAGUUUUGAAGGAAAAUUACCUGAGAGAAGCAGAGUACAACCUGAAGAGCCCUCCACAUGUUACCGCUAAGUCCUGGAAGCCUCCCUUCAGGAUUAGUGCUUCCUUAGUUGCUUCAGUGGCCAGGACUAGUACUGUGCUGGUCAGCAGGUCUCUGGGGGUGCCCUUGGCUCUGGUUCUCCCUCAGGUUGUUUUCACUCCUCUUUCUUCACAGCAGUCUUUCCUCCUCAGCUACUCUUCUUUCUGUCUUACCCAUGUGAUGUUGCUCUUCUGUGCAAAUACACAUAAAUCACAGUUGCCCUGGUUCCACCUUCCACUCUUUAUAUUUGACUAUUAAAUUUCACUUUAUUUUUAAUCAAACCAGAUCACAUGUUUGGCAUGUUUAAGUUGCCACUGUGAGGUUCUUCUCCAAACAGAGUUCAAACCAUUAUGUUACAGUCUGUACCAGACCCUUCCUAGCAGCUGUGUUUAUACAGCUCCUAGUAAAAUGGGUCCCUGAUUAGGAUUUUUGAAUAGCUCAUUCACUGAAAAAAUGGUGUUUUGAACUAGCUAAAGCUAUUUAAAAAUUUGGGAUAAUACAUGAUUAAAAGUUUUGGGUUGAAGAAAUGUCAGUGGCAACACCCUGCCAAAUUUUAGCCCCAAAACAUCAUCACCAUUCAUAUCACAAAGAUUAAGUUACUGGGAUUUAAUUGGGCAAGAAGUGUUUUGCCUGUUUUAAAGAAAAUAGCUGAAAAAUUCAUUUGAUAGAGAUUGAAAAUUAUAUGUUCAGAGGAGUCUCCCAAAAUGGAUAAAAAUUUGGUAAAUUACAUGAAGCUAAGGAUAUGUUUUUUAUCUUGCAACUGUCAGGCAACAGUAAUUUUUGGCCACCUUGAUCCAGAAUAAGAAACUGAACAUUAGACCAGCUCUGGGGUUGCUUCACACCUCUCAAGACAAACUGAAAAACCAAACCCCAUCUUCUACUCUGGGUGACACUGAUAAUACGCUGAAGACACUGUGUGUUGGACAGGUGGAUUCUAAAUAACCAUUCUGUUCCUGCCAUGCCAGGCAACCUCUCUCUAUGAGGUUGGAGGAGGGAUGAUGGUUGGUGUGCCAGCAGCAAUGCUUUCUGGAGUGCAGGGAGCCCUACAGGCUUGAAAGGCCUUAAGGCUGGGAGGAAAAGGUACAUCCUCUGGACUGUUCCCUGCUGUGGAGUUAGCUGCAUUUCCAGUAUUCUGCAAAUUUGGCUACAUGCUUUCUUGCUGCAAAUACUAGCAUUGAAUAAAACCAGUAACCAUGUAUUAAGGCAGGGAAACACAAGUGCUGCUUCUGCUCCAUUCAGUGGUAACACAUGAUUAAAGGACCAAAAGCUAUUUCAGCUGACAAACUCCAUACUUAAAUGUUUUUUUAAACUGUAAACUAAGAGCAAAGAUUUAUAAGUUUGUGUCAUGGUUCAUAAAUCUAGAUCUCCUCUUGUCCUUUUACUCUAGACAAAUGGCUUGUAGAGGAAAUUGGAGUGGUUUGGAUAAGUCUGGGUUUCAGCAGUCAGCCCUCUUAGGUCAGACAUGUAAGAAACAUCUGUAAUUGUUUGAGGAAUUUGGCAGACAGUCUUGUACUUAAAUCACAUUUUCCCCUUUGAAAGCUGGAAAUGCCCGUGUAUAAAUUAGACACACCAGCCACAUACCUGAGCACGUGUGGAAUUAGACAAGGUAUCAACUUGCUGUUACCUUGCAAAUCCUACUGCAAGGGAAAAGCAAGUUGAUACCUUGCUAUAAUAAGAAGCUGGUUUAAUGUUCUUAAAAACCAUUUAUCUUUUUUCUGCCCCAGAAUAAAAUCUGAUAGUUUUAAGGGGAGUUGCCAUUAAGAGGCAGGCUCCUUCAGUGUUCAGAAUUUGCUGCUUAGAUUUUGACUAAGACUAAAAUCAAAAGGUUCUUUGAGUAAAAUUAUACAGACCCUCCUUUCCACGCAGAAUUGCUAAAUUAUGUGCAUAGUUGUCACAUACUGGGCUUCUGAGUACAUUUAACUUGUGCAUAGUCUGUCUAGAAUCAUCCUGUAACGAGAUGAUGUGAAUUCAAAGCAUAUUAAAUUUAAUCCUGGUUUUCAGGAUUAUACCCUGCAAAUUUAAAAUUGCAGAGUAUGCAAAAGGCAUAAUGUUCCUGACUGCUCAGUAUAAAAAAUGAGGCCCAGCUCAAUGUGAAGUAAGUUUCUGGUUCUGCCACUGAAAGCGAACUCAGUAAACUGGCUUUAGUGGGAGAUUCAAGCUGAUGUCUGGUGACCUUUGUCAAGCAGGGCAAAUGAUUGCUAUGUUUGCUACAAUUGCAUUAGGCUGGAUGCUUCUGGUACAGCCUGAGCAAAUGAAGUUUAGAAGUCUGGCUGUCUGUCAGCAAACUUUGCCUUCUGAUUGAUUCUAUAAAUGCUGUAGCAUAGACCCUCCAGGCAGGAAUUCGAGGCUCUGCUUUAUUUGAUGCCAGGUCCUUUAAUAAUUUCAGAAAGUGAUUUUGCUUGUAAUAGAAAACCAUGAUGAAAACAGACAAAAUCAUGAAUAAUGUGUUAAAGUCAAUUCCUCUGUGUCAGCUUCCCGCAUAGCAUGCCCUUUGGUGGGCACAGUAGCUGUCUGAACAACCUGAGGAAGAGGCUGUCAGACAGAUGCUUCAUACAGGCUGCAUCUCUGUGUGUUGCAGCUCAGGAAUGACAUAGCGUAGCUGUCAACUAUAGCUGGACAAAGAGCCAAAACCAGGCACAAACACACACACAUCCCCACCGAAAAAAAAAAAAAAAAAGCCUGAAUUUCCAACUACCUGUUAUCUUUUUUUGUAUGAAUGACCUGUAAGAGCUAAAGACUGUAUUGAUGGUUCAAAGACCCAGCUGUGAUUCUGACCUUGACCACUGAAAUGCUAGUAGCUUUACUCUAGAAGUAUCCUUGGUAGCUUUAAGCUCAAGGAUGUACUAGAUUUCUUCCUAGCAGCUCUCAGUGCCCAAUCUUGUGCGAUGCCAAGCCUUCCCAUGUUCAGCACCGUGCUUGAUUCAAAGGACAGGCUCAGUUGGUUGUCAGUAGCCUUUGUGAGGCAGUGAUUUUUAUUGUGGGCUGAUUGAGCAAGAAUCACACUAGUGGGAAGGAAGGUGGAAAAAUUGUCUCCCUUUAAGCCAUUGCUGGAAUAAAAAUCACUCCUCCUGUCUUCAGAAUGCCAUUACUAUAGCACCAUGGAAAAGGGACUUACUGUUUUCUUGCAACACUCCGGCACCUCCUUUACUCUUGUUUUCCUUUCUAUCCUCUGUGCUUUCUCCUUCCUGCUCUUUCUUCUAUAUUCAAUAUCUCCCUCUGUUUUCACUUACUCUUCAUUUACACACUUAAUGCAAGGCAGUCAGUUUUAACUGCUCUUUGUCGGCCUUUACUCCCUGGGAAUAAUCGACAUCCUUUCUGCUCCCUUCCCAGGGCUUUCUUGUAUGCCAACGCUGUCAUGUCUUAGCCAGUUGAAAGGCUUCCGGCUCUUCAGCCAAGCAAGUAGUUGAUAGCAACAACCUGGGUGCCUGACUGGACUCAGCUGAGUAUCUCUCCUUUGGGAUAUUCUUGGUGGCUGCUGCUAUGCUCGAUGCAGCACAGCCCAGUUUCUCUGUAUGUGGUGGGGGUGGCCGGAAGGGCUGUCAUAGAAAGUGCAAACCAUCCUGGUUUCUUCCACAACUGCAUUGUUUUUCACAUGAAAAAUACAGGUUUCCUCUUCAGGAAGAUUAUAAUCUUUCUGGAAGAUAAUUUUCACAUCUUCAGGGGAAUACAGUGUACCAUUUCUCUUGCAAGCCUAGCUGAACCACUUCAGAAAGUGGCAGUGAGUAUGUUAUUGCUGAUUGACAGUUGUCAGUCACUGGUUAUACAUCUUCAAUGUUUUUCCUGGGCACGCUGCAUUGCCUGACACAGCUCUCCAGAAUGUAGCAGGAGGCCAUGCAGCAUUUUCAUUUAUUUGUUUGUGGAGAUAGCUGCAGGAUUGCAAUGUCAGAAAUUAUUGCUUAAUCUUAAGGGAUUUCUUGGCAUUUUGUUGCUACAAUAAAGUCAUAGUUGUCACAAUGGCUUAGUACAACCACAGAAUAUAUGUACAAUUACUCAUGCAGCCUGAAAAUGUACUGCAAUAAUAAAAUACUGCAUUUACAUA